AGCAGCCGCGGUAAUUCCAGCUCCAAUAGCGUAUAUUAAAGUUGUUGCAGUUAAAAAGCUCGUAGUUGAAUUUCGGGGUCAGUAGAUUGGUCAUGCCACUGGUAUGUACUGGUCUCACUGAUUCCUCCUUCCUGAUGAGCCGUAAUGCCAUUAAUUUGGUGUUGCGAGGAAUCUGGACUGUUACUUUGAAAAAAUUAGAGUGUUUAAAGCAGGCUAACGCUUGAAUACAUUAGCAUGGAAUAAUGAAAUAGGACGUUCGAUCUUAUUUUGUUGGUUUCUAAGAUUGACGUAAUGAUUAAUAGGGAUAGUUGGGGGCAUUAGUAUUCAAUUGUCAGAGGUGAAAUUCUUGGAUUUUAUUGAAGACUAACUACUGCGAAAGCAUUUGCCAAGGAUGUUUUCAUUAAUCAAGAACGAAAGUUAGGGGAUCGAAGACGAUCAGAUACCGUCGUAGUCUUAACCAUAAACUAUGCCGACUAGGGAUCGGAUGAUGUUAAUUUUUUAAUGGCUC
rnacentral:rRNA from 1 species